rnacentral:lncRNA from 1 species
GUAUACAGUUAGGGAAAUAUAAAAAAUAAUUACAAAUAAACUAAACAUCCAUCAUUCUAGAAAUGAAUACUGUUAACAUUUAAGCAUAUUUCCUCCCUGUCUUUUUUUCUUGCUGUUUUACAUAAUGGAGAUUUUAAAAGAUAAAAAGCUUUGUAUUUUUUCCUAGUAUUAUGUCAUAGGAGUGGCUCUAGGUUAUUAAACAUUCUUCAAAAACUCAAUUUUUAAAGUUUGCUUAGUAUGUCUUCUUAUAGCUAUAAUAUGAUUUGCUUGUUUCCCUAAUGUUGAUUGAGUAUUAGGCUGUUUCCAAUUUUUUGAGGUUAAAAAAAACACUACCGUGAAUAUCUUUGUGUGUGUGUGUGUGUGUGUGUGUGUGUGUUUGUGUGUGUUUUAGUAUAGGUAUGACAGUAGGCGAUCUGGCUACAUUCUGUUGCCUAUUUUAGAUGGGGAUAGGACUGCCCCCUUGCCAUUAUGAAUGACAGCUGUCAGCCAAAGAGAGGGCUGCGCUAGAGACUGUCAAUCUGGCUCCUGGGAGAAGGGAUAACACUCAGCACAGGAAUGUUGUAAACACGUUAGGGAGGUCUUGCAAUUCCACUUUGAAAUGGAGGAACCUAAACUACAAUCCAUUUUCACAUGAGGUCGGGUUUGUUCAGGGUGGUAUGGCCAUAGAUAACAAUCCAUUUUCAAAGGAAACAGAGGUUUUCAAAAAGCCUUUUGAAUGGACUGGGCUAGUAUUGUGUGAUUUUUAAAUUAAAUUACACAUGUUAAAAAUGGGCGAUCUAAUGAAAUAGAGAAUAGAGGUUACUUUGAAUGAUAAACUAGUAGGAAUAGUAUUCGUGAAGUUCCAGGCAGGCUGACUUCCUUGGUGAGUUCACCGGGGUGACAGGACGAGUGUUGGAGUUGGCAAAGCAGAAUUCUAAUACCAGCUGGGCCAUAUUGGGCAGGUUGCUUGAUGUCUCUGAGCCUCAGAUUCCCCACUAACAAAAUGAGGCUGAUAAUGACACUAAUAUUUCUCACCUGCAGUUUGUUGUUGAGAGGAUUUAAACACCAAGGGAGGAUCAGUAAAUGGCAGCUAAGGCUGUGCCCUAAGGGAUGGCUGAGGCUUGUUCUUAACCCAGAAUUCAAAAUAGGCCUGCCUGACCUCAGGACAGCGCAACACAAGAGACUUGCACGUACAGAACAUGGAUGUAAAGAGGGAAUCCUGGGUUAUAGUUUCAGAAUCCACUGUGGGGAUCUUAAACCCUCUCUCUUCAGCCUUUAAUAAAUGAUUUAAUUUGCACACUGGACAGUUCAACACUAUUUUUUUUUUUUUUUUUUUUUUGCCCCAGCCUGUGAAAAGGGACGGGGUUGGGCUAAGGCAACGUUGAAACAUUGCAUUCCUCUGCCAGAAGCUUAAAAACCCUGCAAUCAAACCCGAGGCCCUAUGCGGAAACAAGUGUAUCCGAUGACAGCUUAUUAUGGAAGGUUCUGAACUUCUAAGAAUUCCUUAGUAGGAGACAAACAAAAUACAAAGAUAUCCUCCUAAUUUUCUGCGACUGGGAAUUUUUGUUUUUCUCUUCCUCACUUCUCCCAUCCAUUCUGCAUGUUUGUUAAAAUGUAGGCACACAGGGUCCACGGUGUGUGGUACUUGAGUGGGCAAAAGGCUAGUUCAGCUGGCCAGCGAGGCAGACAAGACGUGGUUCAACACACGCAUUGCUGGGAGCUGGGACUUCUCCUUCAUUAGUUAAACAUGGGCAUGAAGUAAAGAUUUCUGGUGUGUGUGUCUGUGUGUUUUCAAACGGCAGGUUCAGCACUUCUAAGUACAUAGCAUGAUAGGAAGAGAAGUCUGUAAUCACCUCUCAUGUCUGGGGUCCUGAUGGGCCCAGAGCAGAUUUGAUUUACGUUAUCUUCAAGCGGGAAACUUGUCAUCCAGUCUUCAUUUGCCCUUCUCUCUGGGCAGGAAAGAGCUCCAUUUUUCCCGCUCCACAGAGGACAUUUUAUUUUUGCAGUUCUUUGAAGUGCCCUCAGAGAUCUAAGCACCAGGCUGAAGGCAGCUCUGUGUAUCCUUGCAACAGAUUAGAACAUAUUCACAUUUUAUUUGCUCACAGAACAAAUAUUUCCCUUGGAAUGAGACCGAGGCAGUGGAGCAGGACCAGGCAGGACCAGCCACCAAAGACGGCCCCCCAGGCCCCAUGCUGGGCCUGCUCAGCGCCUGCACAAUUGGUUCCACAUAAUUGCUUCUCCACACUCACCUCAUUUAGGCCCUAUAGACACAUAUGGGCUGAUUAGUUGAGUCAUUUAUUGAUUCAGGAAUAUUUGUCGAGCCUCAACAAUGUACCAAACACUAUGCUGGUUACAGAAAUAAAGAGAGAAACACAUUCUGUCCUCAAGGGGCUCCUAAUCAAGUAGGGGAGAGAAGCAAUGUCUGUAUAUUAAUGAAUCAAAUCAAGGUGACAAAGAUAAGGCUUCAGAACCCAGGAGACAAAGUGUUUGAGGCCGAAGCUCCCUAGCGCUGGGGCCUCCACUCUGGGAAGGGCCCUGUGGGUGAAUCUCUGAGCGUUUACUGGGCUCCUUCUCUACCUGGGCUGCCGCACCCAGAACAGUUCUUAGAGUUUCCAGCCUCCUGAGCUCGCGGAAUAGCAAAGAAGAAUCAGAAAUGUUUCAAAUACAGCUAAGACCGUCUUUGGUUCCACCCAACACUUUCUCCUCAUGAGUGAUGGUAAUGUCCUGAUGAAUUUCUGCUUGGAAACAACUGGACUCAGUCAGUUGAGAAAUGACAGAGCUCAUAUGCACAACACCUUGAAGCCUUCCUUCAGCAAUGCGGACGAUACACACAACCUUCAACACUUCAGAGAGAAUCCUCCGUGAUGAUGUAUGCUCAAGUAUUUUGGUGUGAGAUGUCAUGAUACCUAUAACUUACUUAUUAAAAAUUCAGGCCAGGCACAGUGGCUCAUGCCUGUAAUCCCAGCACUUUGGGAGGCUGA